AUUAGACGAAUCAUCUGGAAAGAUGAAUCAAAGAAGGUAAUAAUCCUGUAGUCGAAAAUGUUGUCUCUCUUGAGUGGAUCCUGAGUACGACGGAGCACGUGAAAUUCCGUCGGAAUCUGGGAGGACCAUCUCCUAAGGCUAAAUACUCUCUAGUGACCGAUAGUGAACCAGUACCGUGAGGGAAAGGUGAAAAGCACCCCGGAAGGGGAGUGAAAUAGAACCUGAAACCGUGUGCUUA
rnacentral:rRNA from 1 species